AGUUGUUUUGAUUGUUUCCUUUUAAUAUUCAAUUGUUAACGGGAGAAGUAUUGACUCCUAAUUAAGACUUUCCCUCUGGCAGGUUCUCUUCCAGCGGCGCGUUCUUCUCCGGCUAGAAUCUCCGUGUGAGAGCAAGAUGCUAGAAUUCAUGGAAGAGCUUUAGAGAGUGACCGAAUCUAGAGGCUCGAAUUCAAAAGAUAAGGUUGAUUAAUACUUAAUUAAGGCUCCGACCACUUAACAUGAUGACUCUCACCUAAGCAACCAAGACUUGCUUAAUGGUUUGUCGUGAAUGCAUCCUUGUGUGGAGUCUUCUGGUGACUUUGGACUGAACCUUUUAAGCAUUAGCAGACAUGCUACACUGCAAUAAGUAUUGCCAAUUUUGUACAUUUUCAUCCCAUACAUAUUGUGUAAAAGCGUGACUUGUUUCAUUUAUUACACCUCUUGCAAUGAUAGAAUCAAUCUUGGUGUUAGCGCUGUAGGAUACCUCAUCCUUGUUUGUGACAAAAUUGGCUUGAAAAAUGUAUGUAUAGGACAGAUUUGGGAAUCCACUUAAGUAAAGGCCAUUCCAAAGUUCAAUCCGGAAGAAUUGGUAUAAUCUCUGUGCUGUCCAAGGAGGGUAGGAGUUGAAAAUAAUUAUGAUAAUUAAUUAGCUCACAGAGAGGGAAGAGAAUAAAAGGGGGAGCUAAUUAGAUGAGAGAUAGAAAAAGAUUUAGAGAAGUCUAGAUUAGGAGAGAAAAGAAUUCUCAAGUUCUUCUAUUAUCUUAUUAUUGUUCUAUUGUAUUUUUGUAUUUUCCUUAAAAUGAAUUUCAGGUCAGAGUAUUUGUUAUUCACACAA